rnacentral:rRNA from 1 species
GACGAACGCUGGCGGCGUGCUUAACACAUGCAAGUCGAACGGAAAGGCCCUGCUUUUGUGGGGUGCUCGAGUGGCGAACGGGUGAGUAACACGUGAGUAACCUGCCCUUGACUUUGGGAUAACUUCAGGAAACUGGGGCUAAUACCGGAUAGGAGCUCCUGCUGCAUGGUGGGGGUUGGAAAGAUUCGGCGGUUGGGGAUGGUCUCGCAGCUUAUCAGCUUGUUGGUGGGGUAGUGGCUUACCAAGCUUUUGACGGGUAGCCGGCCUGAGAGGGGUACCGGCGACAUUGGGACUGAGAUACGGACCAGAAGCCUACGGGAGGCAGCAGGGGGGAGUAUGGCGCAGUGGGCGGAAGCCUGAGGCAGAGACGCCGCGUGCGGGAUGCCGGGCUUCGGGUGAUAAACCGAUUUCGCCUGUGACGAGGCGUGAGUGACGGUAAUGGGUAAAAAAGCACCGGCUAACUACGUG